AACGCACAUUGCACCCUCUGGUAUUCCGGGGGGUAUGCCUGUUCGAGCGUCAUUUCAACCCUCAAGCUCAGCUUGGUAUUGGGUGUCACCUGGCAAUGGUGCACCUUAAAAUCAGUGGCGGUGCCAUCUGGCUUCAAGCGUAGUAAUUCUCUCGCUUUGGAUGUUUGGAUGUGUGCCUGCCAUCAACUCCUAAUUCAUCAAAGGUUGACCUCGGAUCAGGUAGGGAUACCCGCUGAACUUAA
rnacentral:misc_RNA from 1 species